UUACCAAACCAAGUUAUUGUGUAUGCUAAUAAUUAUUUUGAUCAAGUACCAGACGCGUCCAGUGCCUUUAACAUUUACGCUCUUCCCGAAUCAAUAAGUUGUUUUUCAUUUCCAGAGGACAAUAUUAUUAAAUUCAAUUAACUAACAUAAACAUUCCUGUGAACGUUACUUUAGAAAUGAUAUCAAUAUAAUGUUUUAAAAUGCUCAGCCUUGAAGUGAAUUACAGACAUAAACAUUUACCAUUUUACAUUCUUGAUGUCAGGAAGUAAUAUUUCCAGGAGUUCCACUUCUCCUCCAUUUCAAUAAUAAUAAAUUUAUCCUUAACUUUUCCCCUUGAUUUUUUUAUAAACCCAAUUUUUAUAUUGCUUUUUCUACUUUUGUGUCCGAGCUUGCUUUGUGAUACUGCAAUCAUAGACCUAUGCCAAAUUAUUGAUAAAAUUUUCUGUUUACAUUUUCAUGUUUCAGUUGCAAUACCAUUGAAAUUCCGCUGAAAUACAACUAGAUAAAAAGGAAAAUGUCUAUUUCCCAAAACAUUUUCCUUUCUGUGACUCCCACACAAGAAAACAACCAUUUCUUAUGAACAUCAAACACCCCCCCCCCUACAACAAACUUAACAAUAUACUCCAGUGGCUUCUGCUGUGGCUGGGGGGGGGGUAUGUUUUUAUGUAACAUUGGAUUGGUGGGUUUCUUUUUUGAACACAAUUCUCAGGAUUAUAUUGGCACUUACACCACACAAUUAUCCAAGUUAUUCACCAGGUUUCUAAUUUUGAACAUUUAGCUGAGCAAACAAAGAGUGUCCAAGAAUCACCAAUUCAUCCCAGGCACCAGGCCCCAGAUACUUGAAGCUGUUGGUAUGUCUAUUCCGAGGUCAUUGAACCAUUUUGGCAGACUGGCCAGGAGCAUGCUGAGUUCCAGACAGACAGGCCCAUCAGACAUUUAUAGCUUUCCUUUUAUUGUGAUGCUAAGAUGAAACUGCAUAAAUAUUGGUAAAGUAGUGCCUCGUCUUGAACAUUAUCUUUACAUUCAGAUGUAAAAUAUCAAUUGAUCAUACAACCGCCGAUAGGAAAUCUUUUUCUGUUAUUUCCAAAGAUGAAGGGACCAGUGCGAGUUACAAAAUGCUUGACUUUUUAUUAUUCCCAAAUCAAAACAGGAACAAAUUAAUUGUUUUCAAAAGACAGCGAGCUAGUUUGUGGAUUUAAGAGUUUUUAUGGAAAUGUUUGGACCCUAUAAACUCAGCCUAAGCUGAGAGCCUUAUAAAUGCUUUAAAAAGGACUCAGUUAAAUCACUGAAAACACACACACUAAUUUAACAUUUUAAAUGCUGGGGGCAUUAGUGGAUUUGAGAAUAGGGUCUAAAACACAAAACAACAAUACCUUCAGAGAAAAUAAUUAAACAGUUGUGUGAUGCUUUAAAAAACAAGGCCUAGUUUAUUCUUCACAGACUUGUGAACUCUGGGAACUUAAAAAUGAGAAGUGUACUCCUCUAAAAUGUUAUUGCAUACAGGUGUAUAUAGUUUUCAUGCUGAGCGUUAGAAUCUGGGGUCGAUACUGCUAUUUGUUUUAUUUGAUUUUGUUUUAUUUGAUUUUAUUUAUCUAUUUAUUUAUCUGUUGAGUACUUGGUUGAGUACUUGCUGGUUUACCUUCACCUCUACUUAAUUUAUUCACUUAAUGAAAUAAAAAAAAUCUUCUAUUGAGUCCAAUUAAAAAAACAAAAACUCGUAAUGCGGUGAGAAAUCCAAGUGUAGCCCUAGAUUUUAAACCGAUAAUUAAGUUACUAUACAAUCUUUUAAAUGACCCCUACUUGUUCUUGCCUUGGAUUGGUGCAAUAUUUGUAUUACAAUCCUUUAAAUGACCCCUACUUGUUCUUGCUUUGGAUUGGUGCAAUAUUUGUAUAACAUCUACAUCCAUGCUUACCACCAUAAGUGAAAAAACAAACUGACAAAAACAGAAAAGACAUUUCAUAUUUCUUAGAUUAGCAAGGAAUCUAAAGUUUAGUUACAGAGCUACUAUUAUUCAAUAAAACAUUGUCUUGUAGCAGUAGCCAAACAAUAAUAAUAUUGUUGUUUAAUAAAUUGCUAUAAUUACUUUAUAUACACUAAUCGUACCUUGUUAUUUAGAGGUACCCUUUUAAUUAUAUUUGUGCUUUUGACUUCUGGAAUAUUUCUGGAUACAACGGUUUGAUAAGACUUAACUACGUGUGUUCCUAUCUCUUUAGAGACAAAUUUACGGCAUUACAAGUCACAUCACAUCUUCAAACAAGUACAACGGUUUGAAUUCAUACAGAAAUAAGUAGGUCAUUUUGUAUUGACCCAAUUCUCAAGAGGUCAUGACCCCAGAGAAAUCUUAGGUUGCAACUAUUUUUGAAAUCAGAUUCCAACGUGUUACUAUGGAGUGAGCAAUACUAUCUAACCCACAGGUGCAGUCAGAAACUCACUCAUAGCAAUACUAGCUGACCCACAGGUACAGUCAGAAACUCACUCAUAUCAAUACUAGCUGACCCACAGGUGCAGUCAGAAACUCACUCAUAGCAAUACUAGCUGACCCACAGGUGCAGUCAGAAACUCACUCAUAGCAAUACUAGCUGACCCACAGGUGCAGUCAGAAACUCACUCAUAGCAAUACUAGCUGACCCACAGGUGCAGUCAGAAACUCACUCAUAGCAAUACUAGCUGACCCACAGGUACAGUCAGAAACUCACUCAUAUCAAUACUAGCUGACCCACAGGUGCAGUCAGAAACUCACUCAUAGCAAUACUAGCUGACCCACAGGUGCAGUCAGAAACUCACUCAUAGCAAUACUAGCUGACCCACAGGUGCAGUCAGAAACUCACUCAUAGCAAUACUAUCUAACCCACAGGUGCAGUCAGAAACUCACUCAUAGCAAUACUAGCUGACCCACAGGUGCAGUCAGAAACUCACUCAUAGCAAUACUAGCUGACCCACAGGUGCAGUCAUCAGAAACUCACUCAUAUCAGAUUAUUACAAGUAAAGUGACUACCAAAACAGCAGACCAUGGGCAGACAGACUAGCUAUGUGUAUCAAUGCAAUAGGUCUAUCCUAAUUGGUGAGUUAUUGCAUCACAAUGUGUGUGUAUCUGCCGCACGCGCCUGGCUCCAAAGCUGGUGUUUGUUUGUGUGUAAUUUACCAAAAGAAAUCAAGUUUUAUUGUUCACAAACAUUUCUUAUGACAAAAAGUUUUAACUCUUAGUUUAAGAAGAACCAAACAUGGGAUGCGACAAAUAUUUUCACUUCCAUGGUGAUUAGACACCAUACCAAAUCCAAUAUGUGUUCUGUCAAAGUCAAGCCAUGUUUUCUUGACUAAAUUAUCAAAGAACAAGUUUAAUGCAAACCAAUGCCAAUGGGCUUCUGGUUGUUAUUAUUGGGCCAGUCUGUGUGGGCUUGGCGUACACUGGAAUUACAUCACAUUGAACAGGAUAGACGAUGUCACCAGUGACAUCACAUGUUUACAAAAGAGCAACAAAGCCUGGAUUUCCAGCAGGCACAUACAUAGCACAAGAGUUACAAAAAACUAAUACUUAAAGUAAUACAUCUUAGGCAGAUUGUAAGUGAAUCUGAUCAUGUUUUAUUGAUACUAAGACAAUGGGCACAUUGCAUUAUGAAAACUAGUACAGUUUCGAUUUUUCACAAUUCUCGAUUCGAUGUAUAGAUUAUGAUUCCUGUCCUAUCCUGAUGACCGAUGUAACAUGAAUGGACAAGACUAAUCACAAAUAUAUCAUCAACAAAAAUAUCAUUGUCAGACUGAACUUAAUUUAAGUAUUUAAGGCUUAUUUGCAUAAUAUCAAGUUUUAGACCCAAAAUCUGUGAUCCAUUUUAAGUUUGCUGUUUACUAUUGUGAAUGAAUCAGGGGGGGGGGGG